CCGCCCGCUCCUGUAAGCGGGCCAAGGCCACACGGACAGCCGGGUCGGAUGCCGA
rnacentral:sRNA from 1 species